AAUAAACAAAGAAAUAAACAAGGAGCAAUAAACAAAGAAAUAAACAAGGGCAAAGACCGACGAAUACAGACUGAAACACAGGGCUAUAAAUAUACAAGAAACACAGGAAGUAGAAACACCUGGGGCUAGGGGGCGGAGCUACGAAUGAACACAGGUGAAUGGAAAAUUACAGGGGAACAACACAGAGCAGCACGGGUCACGUGGGGGUAACACAGAGACAUGAGAACAGGCAGGAACAGGGCAAAGACAUGACAGCAACAUUAAAGUGACUAUUAAAUGAUCAUUUCCACACACAGAGGGAUACCAGGCAUUAAACAACAACAUGUAAACAGUGUGCUGCAGCCAUGGAAACGGGCAAGCUGGCUAUGUUUCUGCUGAGCAUGUAAUCAAUGAUCUUCAGUAAGGCUGCUAACCACAGCAUCUGGGGAGGAGCAGGAAACAUUCCUCCCUGCACUCGUGAAAACGGCAUACCACAGCGCGUGCAUUCCAUCCCACCUGGACCUCCAGAUGGUUAAUCCCAG
rnacentral:lncRNA from 1 species